rnacentral:rRNA from 1 species
AUUUUUAGAAAUAAUAUUACACGCUAAAAUACUACAAGUUAUAAUCCUCAAAUUUAAAGGACCUGGCGGUGAUCUAGUCAAGUUAGAGGAACCUGUAUCAUAAACGAUACACCACGCAAUAUCUUACCCACCCUCACAGUCUGUAUACCGUCAUUAUAAGAUUACUCUUAUAAGAUUAGUUAUCUCAAUAAAAUCAUUCUUUAUAUAUUAGAUCAAGGUGCAACCUAUGAGUGGGUGCUUAUGGGUUACAAUAUAAUCUUAUAUAUACGAACUUCAGGAUUAAAUAUCCUUUUUGAAGGAGGAUUUAAUAGUAAGGUUAGUUUAAUAAGCUAAACUGAUUUUAGACCUAUAUUAAGUACAUAUCGCCCGUCACUUUCGUUUACAAACGAAAUAAGUCGUAACAUGG